rnacentral:misc_RNA from 1 species
AUAUAUUUAUCGCCUGCCAGGAACCAUGCGGACCAAUGGCGGCGGCGGGACGGCUCGGACCGUGUCCCUGGGACUGGUGGUGUGUGGGGGGAUCCUCCAUCUGUGUGCCUUUGUCAGUGUGUCUGUGUAUCACGAGUUACGGAUCCGUCACCUAGAGCAGCAAAAUGGACAGCAAAAUGUUCACUUUGAAUACGUCACUAGCGGCAUCGAAGGAAACCGACACAUCAAAAGAGCAGUGGAGACAAAAGAAAGUGAGAGGGAACUCAUUCGUAGAAAGCAGACGACACCGAAAGGGCGCGAAAACUCCGCCAAUCGGGAACAUCUGGUAACGAAAUGGCGCAAAUAUUUGAACAGCUUGCGAACUCCGAGCUGGCCAUUUUCAACAAGUACUGUGGACAAAAUAGUACAAUAUGUCUGCCAGGUCCUAAGGGAGAGAAAGGAAAUGCUGGGAUAACCGGAAAUCCAGGAACUCAGGGCGCCCCUGGAAUUCCAGGUGAGAAGGGGUCGAAAGGUGAUGGCGGUGCUCCUGGUCUUCAAGGUCAAAAGGGCGAGCCCGGCAUGCUUGGAUUUCCAGGGGUCAAAGGUGAAAAGGGUGACUUUGGUGUGCCGGGAUCUAGUGGACCAGCAGGGGUAAAGGGUGAUAAAGGUGACAUGGGGUUACAGGGUCAACCCGGAAAAGACGGCGCCCCUGGACCUCAAGGGGUUAAAGGUGACAAAGGUCGCGUUGGUGACCCUGGGAUGUUGGGACAGAAGGGCGAUAGAGGAGACUUCGGGCCACCAGGAAUCCCCGGGGCCAAAGGUCAGGCGGGCUUCCCCGGUUUGAAGGGAGACAAGGGAGAGGCGGGAGGUUCCGGUCUCCCAGGUCCUCCGGGAAUUCAGGGGGAGAAGGGUGAGCCGGGACCCAAAGGCGAGGCGGUGGCUGUACAACCAGCGCUCCAAACAUCUACCUGUUGUGACAGUUUAGAAAGGCCUUAUUUCAAUCAAACAUCUCAAGUCAUCAAUGCACUGGAGGGUACAUCAGUAUCACUGCAUUGUGACGCCCAUGGUCACCCUAAGCCAACCGUGGAAUGGACGAUGACCUCUAGAAAUGGGUCAAGGACGGUAAUGACAUUGAGCAAUCAGGAUACCCUAAAUAUCAUGAACCUUGACCCCUACAAAGACUACGGUACCUACACGUGCACGGCGUCCAGUGCUCUGGGAGAAGAGUCUAAAACAGUCCAGCUUAAUGUCUACCAGCACAUUAAAAUAGUCGACCACAUAGCCAACCAUUCUCUGCUCGUCGGUCAGAACGUCAUGUUUGAGUGCAAAUUCGAUGGUGACCCAAAGCCUGCGGUCACGUGGUAUCACGUUGAUAAAAAUGGCGCGAAAACUCAAAUCACAACCGGAAUUAUCAGUAUUCCCGAGGGAUCCCAGCUACAACUGCCGUCUGUCGGGGUGUCGGACAAAGGGGAAUAUGUGUGCGAGGCAAACAACGGGAUAGAGACAAUGUCACAACACGCCUACCUGGUGACCGAGGGCCCGCCCUCGGUGUUACAGCAAGGACCUGUCACUGCCCUGGUCGGUCAUAACAUCAAGCUCCAUUGUGACGUAGAGGGUGAUCCCAAGCCUACCACCUCCUGGAUAGCGCCGCCUAAUGUGAACAACGCUUACGAGGAUAAGAACGGGGACCUGAUACUCCUGAACGUCCAGACUGGGGACGCCGGGGCCUACAUCUGUAAGGCCAGCAACUCGUUCGGAACGGCCAGCUCUGUCGUUACCCUGGUGGUACAUGGACCGGGUAAAGCAGAGAUUGCGGGCUCCCACCUGGUCCCUAUAGAACCAACCUCUACGAAUUUCGCCAUAGACUGCAAGGCGUCUGGCGAGCCACCACUUAACGUCCAGUGGUACCACGACGGUACCCCCGUGUCACCUGACCCCACCCACGUGGUAUUGCCUGACAACACCCUGCUGGUGCUAUCGGUCCGGCGGCCGGCGGACUAUGGACGGUACAUGUGUGUCGCCACCAAUUUGUACGGCUCCGAUAACGCAACAGCCUUCGUAUACGAGGACAAAGGAACAACAACAUGCGAUGCUCCAUUCACUCCAUGCCCCGGCAAACUCUGUGGAGCCCAAUGCCCGGCUGGAUGUCAGCAAGUAGUGGUGGAUGGAACCACCUCAUUUCCAGCGUCUGACCCUGUGUGUUUGAGAGGACUUCAGAGCGGGGCGAUACAAAACAAUGGCGGAGUUGUCACGUGGACAACAUCCGGGUCUACCGCCACCAUACAGAUGCCUUAACGGUUCAAACUUUGUUUAGAGGGCAAAGAUGGGUAUUCAGUGGUGCAAUAAACGGUUUUUUGUGAA